UACGGGGGGAGCAAGCGUUGUUCGGAUUUACUGGGCGUAAAGGGCGCGUAGGCGGUCGUGACAAGUCACUUGUGAAAUCUCCGGGCUUAACUCGGAACGGUCAAGUGAUACUGUCGGACUAGAGUACAGAAGGGGCAACUGGAAUUCUCGGUGUAGCGGUGAAAUGCGUAGAUAUCGAGAGGAACACCAGUGGCGAAGGCGGCUCACUGGCCCGAUACUGACGCUGAGGCACGAAAGCGUGGGGAGCAAACAGG
rnacentral:rRNA from 1 species